rnacentral:piRNA from 1 species
UUGCAGGGUUUGCCCAUAUGAAGAGUUC